rnacentral:rRNA from 1 species
CGCGUAGGCGGGGAACUAAGUGAGAAGUGAAAGGCUCAGGCUCAGCCUGAUGCAGUGCUUCUCAUACUGGUUCUCUUGAGGGCGGUAGAGAGAAGUGGAAUGGCUGGUGUAGCGGUGAAAUGCGUAGAUAUCAGUCGGAACACCGGUGGCGAAGGCGGCUUCUUGGGCCGUUUCUGACGCUGAGGCGCGAAAGCCAGGGGAGCGAACGGGAUUAGAUACCCCGGUAGUCCUGGCCGUAAACGAUGGAUACUAGGUGUUGGGGGUAUCGACCCCUCCAGUGCCGCAGCUAACGCAAUAAGUAUCCCGCCUGGGGAGUACGGCCGCAAGGUUGAA